rnacentral:lncRNA from 1 species
AUGACUUCUCAGACAAGAAGGACAUGUUUCCUUUGCAGGAACCAUGGCCCCAUCUCGGCCCUACUAAUCAGAAUCUCAGGGGUGGUUGCUGAGACCCUGCAUCUUUAACCACCUCCCUAGGAGACAGAAGGAGACAAUCUGUGGGGCCAAUUUUGCAGAAGCUACACAAGAGAAAGACAAUAAUAGCAACAUGUGAAAGAACCUAGAAUUCAGUGUCUAAAUUUAAAAAAAAAAAACCACCACUGUUGAGGGUAGUGAAAAAGAUUUUCAUAUGCUGAUGUGAGAGCACACGUUGAACUUGUGAGUAAAAAG